rnacentral:rRNA from 1 species
UACGUAGGGUGCAAGCGUUAAUCGGAAUUACUGGGCGUAAAGCGUGCGCAGGCGGUUGUGCAAGACCGAUGUGAAAUCCCCCGGGCUUAACCUGGGAAUGGCAUUGGUGACUGCACGGCUAGAGUGUGUCAGAGGGGGGGUAGAAUUCCACGUGUAGCAGUGAAAUGCGUAGAGAUGUGGAGGAAUACCGAUGGCGAAGGCAGCCCCCUGGGUCAAGAUUGACGCUCAUGCACGAAAAGCGUGGGGGAGCAAACAGG